GACAGAGGGUGCAAACGUUGUUCGGAAUUACUGGGCGUAAAGCGCGUGUAGGCUGCUUGGAAAGUCGGAUGUGAAAGCCCUGGGCUCAACCUAGGAAGUGCAUUCGAAACUUCCAAGCUGGAGUGCUGGAGAGGAAGGCGGAAUUCUCGGUGUAGAGGUGAAAUUCGUAGAUAUCGGGAGGAACACCGGUGGCGAAGGCGGCGACCUGGGUCGAGACUGACGCUGAGGCGCGAAAGCGUGGGGAGCAAACAGG
rnacentral:rRNA from 1 species